GUCAUUGGUCAUUUCUGCUGUAUCUAUUUGGGUAAAGAAUCUGGCUUAUUAUGCCUAAACUUCCAUUAUGAAUGCCUUCAUGAAUGUGUAGACAGCAUCCCGCACAAUUUCAGUGUCAGCCAGCUUGAAAGGCAAGAAGACUCAUGCCUCUUGUGGAACAUCUCUGGCUGAUGGAUGUGCCUUUCUGCUGCCUUCCUCUGAAGAAUCGUGGUAACAUCUUUGUGUACAUCUUGAUUUGUGAAGAGCUUGUGUAAAAGUCUACAGUACUAAAAUCAAAGGACCCGCAGGCCAUCUCCCACAAAAAGGUGAAAGAACAGUUGGAGUUCUAAAGAAAUGCAAAAAUUGAUCAUCCUCAAAUUUUGGUGCAUAGAAGAUGAGAACUCUCAGAGGAACUGCUUCUUUUGUAAAUGAUUUUUUCAAAUGAGAGCAGACUGAGCUCAAAUGCUGGAUUUGAUUUUGGAGUCUGAUAUCUUCAUAUUUUGCAUCCAGAUUUUGCAGCUAGAACAGG